GGGUGGUAAUGCCGGAUGUUCCACAUGAUCGCAUGUGAUUGUGGGAAAGAUUCUAUCGGCGUGGGAUGGGGUCGCGUCCUAUCAGCUUGUUGGUGAGGUAACGGCUCACCAAGGCUUCGACGGGUAGCCGGCCUGAGAGGGCGACCGGCCACAUUGGGACUGAGAUACGGCCCAGACUCCUACGGGAGGCAGCAGUGGGGAAUAUUGCACAAUGGGCGCAAGCCUGAUGCAGCGACGCCGCGUGAGGGAUGGAGGCCUUCGGGUUGUAAACCUCUUUUGUUUGGGAGCAAGCCUUCGGGUGAGUGUACCUUUCGAAUAAGCGCCGGCUAACUACGUGCCAGCAGCCGCGGUAAUACGUAGGGCGCAAGCGUUAUCCGGAUUUAUUGGGCGUAAAGGGCUCGUAGGCGGCUCGUCGCGUCCGGUGUGAAAGUCCAUCGCUUAACGGUGGAUCUGCGCCGGGUACGGGCGGGCUGGAGUGCGGUAGGGGAGACUGGAAUUCCCGGUGUAACGGUGGAAUGUGUAGAUAUCGGGAAAGAAC
rnacentral:rRNA from 1 species